UAUAAGUGUAACCGUGAGUUUCCGCGUUCAACUUUCAUGGUCCGUCUUAUUUGAAACUUUUUUAUAAUUAAUAUUUUUAUUUUUAUGAGAUAAUAAAAUAUGGGUAGUACUUUAUACGUGGCUUAUGUUUUUAAUUUUUUAAAAAAAUUAAAUUAGACGGACGAUUAAAGUUAAGUAAAAACUUAUGGUUAGUAGUAAC
rfam:Oryza barthii chromosome 4, whole genome shotgun sequence.